UAAAUGAAUUAUAAUUCGUUAGCCUUUUUGGAUUUUGACCUAUGACAAAAGUUAUUCAGACAGCUGGGAUCUGUGUUAAAGGAGGACUUUGUCAAAAAUAAUAGUAAUGGGCGUACACAUUCAAAGUUAGUAGAUGAGGGUUCAGUGCUUCCUGUUCUGACCCCCCAUUGCUCGUGGAUACGUUUCACUGAACAGAGAACGUCCACUACUCUGGCAUUUUGUGGCUGAAUUUUGUGAAAAAUAAUUACAAACAAACAAAAUAACAAUAACAAAAAUAACAAUGUACAAUGUUCAAGCCUAUGCGUUUGAGCCAGAAUACACACAGGCGGAACUUGUUGUGUUGAAGAGGGGGCGGGACACUCAUGAAGGAGCACAACAAUCACAUAACAUGGACCUCGGAGAUCUUCCAGACAGGCUCGUUUUGAAAGACUGCUGUUCGUGUUCUCUUUGUGAUCAAAUGCCAACUGUGGCAUUGAGUUUAAAAAGGCUGCAUAACCCGACAAAGACGUAUUACAUAUCAAUUUACUUAUGAUCCAUUGCAGUUUGAUGAAAGGACCACUUGUACAUCCAGUGGAAAACCCAUGCUUAUCCGCACGAGGGUCACUGGAGUGUUGGAGCUUAUCCCAGCUGUCAACUUGCAGGAGGCAGGCUACACCCAUGCAGAACAUACAAACUCCACACAGGGAGGUCCAGGAUCAAACCCGGGUCCUCAUAACUGUGAGGCCAACGCUUUCCAGCUGCUCUACCGUGCCGCCUCAGAAAGUAUGUAGUUGCUUAUACUGUACCGCCACGAGAGGCUAUAACUAAGUGGCUAAUAACUAGUAACAAUGAUUAAAUGCGUCCAAAUUUCCCCUGCUGAUGAACGAGCCUCAACUGUGACAGCCACAGCUUUAUCCUGUCAGGUUGACCCCAUGGGAGGUUAAAGAAGGACACAUUUCGGUACAUUUUCUCAGUUUUGUUGCAGUUUGUUACACAACACGUCAGCAUCUUGGCCGAGCUAGAAUGAAUGGUCUGUGAUGCUAAGCACCGGCAACGUCGGGGAGCGAGGUCGAGGACAUUUCUUCCAGGUCUGGCUGUGAAAGUUGGCACGUAUACAGAUAAUUCAUGGAUUUCGAAAAUGUUGUUUAUUUUCAAUUUUGUUUUCAAUUAAUGUCCAAAAUAUAUGUAUUUAUUGUACACAUGAAUUUUGGACAAAGCUUUACUUUAAACUGUGACUAAAAAUACAUGCACGAUACGUCUUC